UGGAUGGCAGUUUGAAAAUGACCCUGAAGGAUCCGUUUCACUGUACAGGUCAUAUCGUGGAAGCUGGUCCUGCGCUGACUUCCGUUUCAGCUGGUCUUUCAGGUUUUUAUAAUUGCUGUUUGCCAGACAUUCUUUCGUUUUGGUGUCGUAAUAUUGUAGUUGGAAAGAAAUGGGGAACACGACACUUCUAUACACUUCUAAUACACUUUUUUUUUUCUUUUACAUUACAUGUCGUUUGGCCAAAGUGACUUACAGUUGAUUAGACUAAGCAGGAGACAAUCCUCCCCUGGAGCAAUGCAGAGACGGCUGUACUCUUCAAUUUGUGGAGAAGAAAGCAAGAGACAAAGUAGAAAUGGAAGCAGAGGUGGUUUUGCCAACAUCAGAAGUCAUGCUGAAAAAGGAUGCGAUUACGAUCUGGGCAAAUGGGACAAAUGAUCACAUGAUGGUUCUGACUGAAACCUGGCUUCAGAAAACAGUACUCGAUAACUUAAUAUGUAGGCUGUUGGUGGUUAUAAAAUGUAUCGAACUGAUCACAUGAGUAGAGGAGGGGGUUCCAAAUUAGUAUUAAACCUAACUUAACAGCUUUGCCUAUAACAAAGCAAUAUCAACGUUAUCAGCUGCUAUAGACCUCCAUCAGCCUUAAGAGAAGCCUUUACUGUACACAGAAUUAAACAUUUCAGAAUGUAGCCAUUUAUUUCUGUAAUUUGUAUGAUAAUUGGGGUUAAUAAAUGUUAAAAGCAGUUCUUAUAGGACAACUCUCCAUAUAAAGCCAUUCAUGUUCUCAGACGCUGACCGCCAGAUUUUCAGUUCUGAACACAGACAUAAAAGAGUGCAGAAAAUGCUGGCUUGCAAGGCUAGGCUAGCAAAGGCAAAUCUAAAAAUAUUUCUUGUGUACUCUUGUGUAAAAAAAGAAAAUGACAAUCUUCUUAAUUCACAUUCGUUCUGGAUCACUACGUUUUAACACACAGGCAAGUCCCUCCCUUGGGUUUAUAUACAGAGGGAAAUCAAGAUGCUGGUGGCUUCUCAACUUGUUUUGAGCCUCAGGUUUUUACAGGUGAAAACCAUGGUUCUAGAUGCAGUGCACUGUUUUAGUGGAUUUAAUAGCAUUAAUUUGAGAACAUGAAAUAAAUCAUGUGCCCACAGUUUUUUUUUUAAUUCCCCGCUGUAUAUGUGCUUUCCCUUUCUGUCCUCUAAAAAUGUAUACGCCGACAUUUCAUUGGAUCCAUAUUUUAAAUAAAGGCCAAUGUGACCAUUUUGUACCACA